rnacentral:rRNA from 1 species
GACAGAGGGUGCAAACGUUGUUCGGAAUUACUGGGCGUAAAGCGCGUGUAGGCUGCUCAGAAAGUCGGAUGUGAAAGCCCUGGGCUUAACCUAGGAAGUGCAUUCGAAACUUCUGAGCUUGAGUUCUGGAGAGGAAGGCGGAAUUCUCGGUGUAGAGGUGAAAUUCGUAGAUAUCAAGCGGAACACCGGUGGCGAAGGCGGCCUUCUGGACAGUGACUGACGCUGAGACGCGAAAGCGUGGGGAGCAAACAGG